UUGGAGACCAGCUGCCUCCACAAUCAUGCCCCCCCUGCUUUCCUGGUAGUUGCUGUCGUUGUACCAAAAAGCGCAUAAGGGCUGGACGUUACUUAACCAUCAUUUCAAUCCUGGGGACAUGGAGUCAUUGCUAACCAGGGCCGGUCACUGCUAGCCAAAACAAGACUUCAUAGGUGCAUAUCAGAGAGCAGGUUCGGCUUCCUGGCAGCGCCAUCGACCUCCCAUCGACUGACCAGAGUCUCGG